rnacentral:rRNA from 1 species
GACGAACGCUGGCGGCGUGCUUAACACAUGCAAGUCGAACGAUGAAGCACCAGCGUGCGGGUGUGGAUUAGUGGCUAACGGGUGAGUAACACGUGAGUAACCUGCCCCUCACUCUGGGAUAAGCCUGGGAAACUGGGUCUAAUACUGGAUACGACCGAUCUCGGCAGGGAGUGGGGGUGGACAGUGUUUGUGGUGGUGGGUGGACUCGCGGCCUAUCAGCUUGUUGGUGGGGUAGUGGCCUACCAAGGCGGCGACGGGUAGCCGGCCUGAGGGGGCGGCCGGCCACACUGCGCCUGAGAGACGGCGCAGACUCCUACGGGAGGCAGCAGUGGAGAAUAUUGCACAAUGGGCGCACGCCUGAUGCAGCGACGCCGCGUGAGUGAAGACGGCCUUCGGGUUGUAAACCUCUUUCACCAGGGACCAAGCUAACGUGACGGUACCUGGAGAAGAAGCACCGGCUAACUACGUG